CCGCCGUGGCAUGCGUCAGUACGGCGAGUGAAGCGGCAAGAGCUCAAAUUUGAAAGCUGGCUCCUUCGGGGUCCGCAUUGUAAUUUGCAGAGGAUGCUUCGGGUGCAGCCCCCGUCUAAGUGCCCUGGAACGGGCCGUCAUAGAGGGUGAGAAUCCCGUAUGGGGCGGGGUGUCUGCGUCCGUGUGAAGCUCCUUCGACGAGUCGAGUUGUUUGGGAAUGCAGCUCUAAAUGGGUGGUAAAUUUCAUCUAAAGCUAAAUACUGGCCGGAGACCGAUAGCGCACAAGUAGAGUGAUCGAAAGAUGAAAAGCACUUUGAAAAGAGAGUUAAACAGCACGUGAAAUUGUUGAAAGGGAAGCGCUUGCAACCAGACUCGCUCGCGGGGUUCAGCCGGGCUUCGGCCCGGUGUACUUCCCCGCGGGCGGGCCAGCGUCGGUUUGGGCGGCCGGUCAAAGGCCUCCGGAAUGUAGCGCCCUUCGGGGCGCCUUAUAGCCGGGGGUGCAAUGCGGCCAGCCUGGACCGAGGAACGCGCUUCGGCACGGACGCUGGCAUAAUGGUUGUAAACGACCCGUCUUGAAACACCGGACCAAA
rnacentral:rRNA from 1 species